CGAGGUCCAUUCGGUGGUAACACCGAUGAAGACCUAGUGGCGAACGGGUGCGUAACACGUGAGCAACCUGCCCCGAAGACCGGGAUAACAGCGGGAAACUGCUGCUAAUACCGGAUGUCCCCAUCUACUCGCAUGGGUGGAUGAGGAAAUGGAUUCCGCUUCGGGAGGGGCUCGCGGCCUAUCAGCUUGUUGGUGAGGUAACGGCUCACCAAGGCGACGACGGGUAGCUGGUCUGAGAGGACGAUCAGCCACACUGGGACUGAGACACGGCCCAGACUCCUACGGGAGGCAGCAGUAGGGAAUCUUGCGCAAUGGGCGAAAGCCUGACGCAGCAACGCCGCGUGGGGGAUGAAGGCCUUCGGGUUGUAAACUCCUUUUAGUGGGAACGAAAUUGACGGUACCCACAGAAAAAGCCCCGGCUAACUACGUGCCAGCAGCCGCGGUGAUACGUAGGGGGCAAGCGUUGUCCGGAUUUACUGGGCGUAAAGAGCUCGUAGGCGGCUUAGUAAGUCGGCGUGUCAAAUCUCCAGGCUUAACCUGGAGUCGCACCCGAUACUGCUAUAGCUAGAGUCCGGUAGGGGACCAUGGAAUUCCUGGUGUAGCGGUGAAAUGCGCAGAUAUCAGGAGGAACACCAGUAGCGAAGGCGGUGGUCUGGGCCGGUACUGACGCUGAGGAGCGAAAGCGUG
rnacentral:rRNA from 1 species